rnacentral:rRNA from 1 species
AUGAGAAUAAUAGGCUUUGAUUUCGGUGAAGACUGCACAAUAGCAGUAUGGAAGGAAGGAAAAGGUGGAAUUGAUAUUGUAGGCACAAACACCCCUUCAGCUGUGCACUUUACGGAGAAAGAACGGAUUGUGGGGCGCAACCCAGGUAUUCCCAAGGAUAGUGACGCUCAGGAAGAAUACAACAAUGUGAGCCAGGCUGAAGCUGACAAUUUGAUAUAUGGUAUCAAGCAACUGAUUGGUGUAAAAUUUAAUGAACUUGAUUUAAAUUUUACACCUUUCUCAGUCAGAGAAGGCGAUGAUGGAUAUGUUCUUGUUGAUGUGAAUCACCAUGCCUUUAAACCAGCGGAGCUGUUAGGCAUGAUAUUCUCCCAUCUGAAAAUGAAAGCCAUGUCUUGUCUAAGGUCCAUCAAGGAGGAAAAGGAAGAGGAGAAAUGCUGCAUCGGAGUGCCGGCAUAUUUCACGGUGCCGCAGAGAAAUGCGGUAUGUAAUGCAGCAAAGAUUGCAGGGCUUGAUCCAUGGCUGCUGCAUGAGACAACAGCGACAGCGUUGGCAUAUCUGCACUACAACUCAAAGAAUCUGGGAAAAACUGAGCGAUUUAUAGCCAUCAUAGAUGUUGGGUUUUCUAGAAUGCAAAUUUCCUUUGUACAUUACAAGAAAGGUGAGCUCAAGAAAGGUGAGCUCAAAGUUCUGUCAUACGGAAGUGACAGCUCUCUUGGUGGGAAGCAGUUGGAUAUGCUCAUCUUUGAGCACUUCACCAAGCAGUUACGAGAUAAACAAAAAAUCAGUGUUAUACAAAAUAAGCAUGCCCGCAUCAAGCUUUUCAAUCAGUGCGAAAGGGUGAAGAAAACAAUAUGCAAGGGUCAGUCUAAUGCAGAAAUUUUGCUUGAAAAUUUAAUGAAGGGGGAAGAAGAUCGUCUUGAGUUAACUAAAGCAGAUUUCAGUCAAAUAUGUCACAAAGCGCUGGUUGGCAUGAAUAGCCUACUUAAAAAAGCUUUGGAAGAAGCCGGCUUAAAUUCAAAGGAGAAGCUUGCAAAAAUUGAAUCUGUUGUCACAGGUUCAGGCAGUGCUGUUCCUGCAAUCAUUGAUAUACUUACCGAGUUCUUUGGAGAAGCGCCUUUCAUGGAUAGCAAGUUUGCGAACUUUAGUGUUGCUAAGGGCUGUGCCCUACAGUCUGCUCUCCGUGGUAACACAAACCAGAAGACACCCGAUAAAGUUGUUUCGAAGAAAAUGAAAAGUAUGCUGGGGCUUAAGAUUAUUGAUCAAUUCCCGUUCUCGAUUACCGUGUGUUGGCUGCAAAAUCUUCAAAAUGGUGACAACCAUACCCAGCUUUUCAAGGAAGGUGCUUCAUGGCCAUGCACUCAAUCUGUAUCUGUUACGCCUGAUGCAUCUGAGCUCAGCGUAUAUGCAUUUUCUGAGAAAUCAAAAACUCCUACAAAGAUAUGCAGAUGCAAGUUCAAAUGGCCUUCCAACAGUGGUGGAAACACAACUUCAGAGGUCCAGUUCACUAUUGACGACUAUGGGAAACUAUCAGUUGAACCAGUUGAAUUUGCAGAGCUUGAAUUUGAUGGUGAAAUGGGGACCGAAGAUAUGCUCACGACUAAGGAGAAAGAGAGAGAUUUUGCUAAACUGGAGGCAAUAAAGAAUGAUGUCUUGGGUUACAUAACUAGUACUUUUCAUUUCUUCAAAAGUGGCACAAAGUACGAUCAAUAUAUGGAAGUUGAAGAUAAAGUAUCAUUUACAAAGACCUUGGAAGCCACUAAAGAUUCAUUGUCUGGACAGCACGACAUCGAUGACUACGUUGAUAUGCUUGCCAAACUUAAAGGAUCGGUAAACCUAUGGAGACACGGUACAAUGAGUCUAAAAAGAGACCUCGCCUCAUUGAGGAUUUGA